GAGAAGAGAAAAAGGGCGACUGCACUGAUUUUCACUUUUCGAUCUUGAAUCAAUAGAAAUCAGUUGUUCCCUUUUAGUUUUUGAUUUUGUUUAUUAAAGAUUACUAAAACUCAUCUUAUCGAUGGAGGCAAAGCAGAAGGUCAUGUCCAGGUAAGAUUUUACAAACCCUAACUUUGUUGAGAUGGGGUCUGGAUCGACAAAGGGUGUCUGUUGAUGGAGGAAAUUGAUGAGUUCAGUUAGCAGAUGUGAUUGAAAUCAAUUGGUGGAGAUUGGAGUUGUUGUCUGAGUUCUUGAGAUAUCUAGGGUUUAUGCCAGAAAUUGUAAAAACAGAAGUAAUAAGAGAUGUUGUUGAGAAAUUGAGACGAACCAGAAGAUGAAUUUGUGCUUCAAAGGGUGCAGUGAUCGAGAGAGGGUUCUGAAUUUGCGAUUGAGAUGGUUCAGGACAUGAUUUGAGAGUUUGAGUUGCAAACAAAGAUGAUGAUUCUUGAGUUCUGAAAAGAGAACUGACAGAAGUGGAUCUGAAAUGAGAGUUUGUUAUGAAAUUGAAGAUGGAUUCAAUCUGAAUCUGUUAAACCCAAACUGAAGACUCAGUUAGAAGCUGCUGAGGGACCAAUCAUGAGUUCAAGUGAAGCAUCCAAGGAUUCUGCAGUAACUUCAAGGAAAAUGGGAAAAGGAAAUCUACUGAGAACUAAAACAGAUAAAUUAUCACGUCAGAAGGUUCAAGCAAUCGUUUCUACUCAUCCAAAAAUUCAGAAACCAGGGGUACUCAACUAAUUUUAUUUCUCAGCAAUGUCACGUUAGACUUGGUUUUGACAGCAGUCAGAAAUAUGAACUUCUAAUCUGUAUUUAAAUCAUUUAUCUUACUAUUGACUGGUUAGCUACAAGAAGUAGCUGAGAUGGUGAGGAGUUAGACCUGGUGGUGGAUUAAUGAAUGACUUAAUGGUGGUACUGGAUUCUGUGCUGUGACAGAAUGGCUCGAGGUGAAGAUGGAACUGGUGAUAUGAAGCGCACAAAAGGAAGUUGGUUUGAGUCGAAUCUGAAGUUGAAGUUUGUAAGUGGUUGUUGCAGGGAACAAGAGAUGGACUUGGUGGAACAAAUCUGAAGCUGAAUGAAUGGGUGCAGUGAUUGCAGGAAAUUGGAGGUGAUAUGAGGCAGUGAACUGCAGAAUGGUGUUGCUUGUAGUUUGAAUACAAGACAGAGACUGGUGAUGCUAUAUGCAGUGUCUAGAUGUAUGUUAGGCGGCUUAUCUGAGUUGCAGUAAACAAAUGCAGGUGCAAUGAUUUUUUCUAGCUAGUGAUGGCCUGAACUAUGAUGUCCUGAAGCUGAAGACAUGAGAUGAAUGGAAUGUGUUGGUAAUUGAGUUAGCUGUUGAUUGCAAAUGGAGGUUUGUGGUGCAGCUACAGGCAGUGAUGACCUAGAACUGUAAUGGAAUUGUUGAAGCUAAGAAUUCUAGAGCUGCAGAGAGUUGCAGCUGGUAUUGAUGGUGGAGACUCAGGCGAAAACGCACCCUGUUAUGAGUGAACUAAAUUUGUGCUGUAUUAACAGAAUGGAUGUGUUGGUUUGCUGCUAAGCAGAGUUUGAGAACAUAUUUGAUGCUGAAGAGUUUGAGAACAGUGUGUUGAGUCACUGAGUUGAGUGUCAGAUUUUAACCGAAUCGUCCCUGUUCAAAUCAGAGGGACUUUUAAGACAUUCUGUAUAUAGGUGCCACGUGGAGUUUAACUGCUCCAACUUUCUGUUUACCGUUUUAUUCAAAAAACGGUCAAACUGGGGCACUUUAGAAAAUUUGUAAAAAACAGGGGUAUUUUUGGAGUGUACAUUUCAAAACAGGGGUACUUUAUAAAAUUUCCCUUUUUUGUUCCAGGAAAGAAUGAAGUAAACUUUCUUUUCAUAUAAAUAAAUUUUAGGUUGGAUAUUA